AGAGAGAGACAUGCGCGCAUAUCAAUAAGCGGAGGAAAAGAAACUAACAAGGAUUCCCCUAGUAACGGCGAGUGAAGCGGGAAGAGCUCAAAUUUGAAAUCUUAAAGGGUUUCCCUUUACGAAUUGUAGUUUAAAGAAGUGUUUUCUGUUGAGGUUUUGGUAAAAGUUCUUUGGAAUAGGACAUCAUAGAGGGUGAGAAUCCCGUAUUUGACCUUUACUUUCAACUUUGUGAUACACUUUCAAAGAGUCGGAUUGUUUGGGAAUGCAGUCCAAAAUGGGUGGUAAAUUUCAUCUAAAGCUAAAUAUUGGCGAGAGACCGAUAGCGAACAAGUACCGUGAGGGAAAGAUGAAAAGAACUUUGAAAAGAGAGUUAAACAGUACGUGAAAUUGUCAAAAGGGAAGCGUUUGACACCAGUGUUGUUUUUCUGAAAAUCAAUUAAAGAACUGUUUAUGCUAAGUUGUUUAGACUUUAUCAGCUAACUGUUUAGUUUUGAGCUUUUCUUUAAUGCACUUUUCAGUUAACAAGUCAACAUCAAUUUCUUUUGCUGUAAAAAGCUUGAGGAAGGUGGCUUGAGAUUCGUCUUAAGUGUUUAUAGCCUCUUGCCUAUGCAGUCGGAGAGAUUGAGGUCUGCAGCGUAGAUCCUUCGGGGCUAAAUGCAUUUGUGCUAAGUUAUAACAUUUUAUAGACAACUUGUUGACUAUGAUUUGUCUUGUAGCUUACUCGCUUAUGUUAUUUUACCUACGCUUAGGAUGUUGACGCAUGAGAUAUACGC
rnacentral:rRNA from 1 species